rnacentral:rRNA from 1 species
AUUGAACGCUGGCGGCAUGCCUUACACAUGCAAGUCGAACGGCAGCACGGGAGCAAUCCUGGUGGCGAGUGGCGAACGGGUGAGUAAAGUAUCGGAACGUGCCCAGUCGUGGGGGAUAACGUAGCGAAAGUUACGCUAAUACCGCAUACGAUCUAUGGAUGAAAGCGGGGGAUCGCAAGACCUCGCGCGAUUGGAGCGGCCGAUAUCAGAUUAGGUAGUUGGUGGGGUAAAGGCUCACCAAGCCGACGAUCUGUAGCUGGUCUGAGAGGACGACCAGCGACACUGGGACUGAGACACGGCCCAGACUCCUACGGGAGGCAGCAGUGGGGAAUUUUGGACAAUGGGCGAAAGCCUGAUCCAGCCAUGCGGCGUGCAGGAUGAAGGCCUUCGGGUUGUAAACUGCUUUUGUACGGAACGAAAAGGUUUGGCCUAAUAAGCUGAGCUCAUGACGGUACCGUAAGAAUAAGCACCGGCUAACUACAUGCCAGCCGCCGCCGUAA